UGGGGAAUUUUGGACAAUGGGGGAAACCCUGAUCCAGCCAUCCCGCGUGUGCGAUGAAGGCCUUCGGGUUGUAAAGCACUUCUGGCAGGAAAGAAACGUCAUGGGUUAAUACCCCGUGAAACUGACGGUACCUGCAGAAUAAGCACCGGCUAACUACGUGCCAGCAGCCGCGGUAAUACGUAGGGUGCAAGCGUUAAUCGGAAUUACUGGGCGUAAAGCGUGCGCAGGCGGUUCGGAAAGAAAGAUGUGAAAUCCCAGAGCACAACUUUGGAACUGCAUUUUUAACUACCGGGCUAGAGUGUGUCAGAGGGAGGUGGAAUUCCGCGUGUAGCAGUAAAAUGCGUAGAUAUGCGGAGGAACACCGAUGGCGAAGGCAGCCUCCUGGGAUAACACUGACGCUCAUGCACGAAAGCGUGGGGAGCAAACAGG
rnacentral:rRNA from 1 species